rnacentral:lncRNA from 1 species
AGCCCCUAGCGCAGACGGCGGAGAGCAGAGAGGGAGCGCGCCUUGGCUCGCUGGCCUUGGCGGCGGCUCCUCAGGAGAGCUGGGGCGCCCACGAGAGGAUCCCUCACCCGGGUCUCUCCUCAGGGAUGACAUCAUCCGUCCACCUCCUUGUCUUCAAGGACCACCUCCUCUCCAUGCUGAGCUGCUGCCAAGGGGCCUGCUGCCCAUCUACACCUCACGAGGGCACUAGGAGCACGGUUUCCUGGAUCCCACCAACAUACAAAGCAGCCACUCACUGACCCCCAGGACCAGGAUGGCAAAGGAUGAAGAGGACCGGAACUGACCAGCCAGCUGUCCCUCUUACCUAAAGACUUAAACCAAUGCCCUAGUGAGGGGGCAUUGGGCAUUAAGCCCUGACCUUUGCUAUGCUCAUACUUUGACUCUAUGAGUACUUUCCUAUAAGUCUUUGCUUGUGUUCACCUGCUAGCAAACUGGAGUGUUUCCCUCCCCAAGGGGGUGUCAGUCUUUGUCGACUGACUCUGUCAUCACCCUUAUGAUGUCCUGAAUGGAAGGAUCCCUUUGGGAAAUUCUCAGGAGGGGGACCUGGGCCAAGGGCUUGGCCAGCAUCCUGCUGGCAACUCCAAGGCCCUGGGUGGGCUUCUGGAAUGAGCAUGCUACUGAAUCACCAAAGGCACGCCCGACCUCUCUGAAGAUCUUCCUAUCCUUUUCUGGGGGAAUGGGGUCGAUGAGAGCAACCUCCUAGGGUUGUUGUGAGAAUUAAAUGAGAUAAAAGAGGCCUCAGGCAGGAUCUGGCAUAGAGGAGGUGAUCAGCAAAUGUUUGUUGAAAAGGUUUGACAGGUCAGUCCCUUCCCACCCCUCUUGCUUGUCUUACUUGUCUUAUUUAUUCUCCAACAGCACUCCAGGCAGCCCUUGUCCACGGGCUCUCCUUGCAUCAGGUAGGGGCUUUGCAGAGACCAUCGACGGGCUGACUUGAGGCUAAUCUCGGGCCUUGUCGAAGGAAGAGGCUGCAGACGUUAAUGAGGUUAGCUGCUGGAUUCCAGUAUUCGUCGCAUAAGGAUCCUUCUUUGUCUGCGAAGGAAAAACACACUGAUUAUCAUAAUGAGGCACGUGGGCCGUGGCCCGGCUGGGUCGGCUGAAGAACUGCGGAUGGAAGCUGCGGAAGAGGCCCUGAUGGGGCCCACCAUCCCGGACCCAAGUCUUCUUCCUGGCGGGCCUCUCGUCUCCUUCCUGGUUUGGGCGGAAGCCAUCACCUGGAUGCCUACGUGGGAAGGGACCUCGAAUGUGGGACCCCAGCCCCUCUCCAGCUCGAAAUCCCUCCACAGCCACGGGGACACCCUGCACCUAUUCCCACGGGACAGGCUGGACCCAGAGACUCUGGACCCGGGGCCUCCCCUUGAGUAGAGACCCGCCCUCUGACUGAUGGACGCCGCUGACCUGGGGUCAGACCCGUGGGCUGGACCCCUGCCCACCCCGCAGGAACCCUGAGGCCUAGGGGAGCUGUUGAGCCUUCAGUGUCUGCAUGUGGGAAGUGGGCUCCUUCACCUACCUCACAGGGCUGUUGUGAGGGGCGCUGUGAUGCGGUUCCAAAGCACAGGGCUUGGCGCACCCCACUGUGCUCUCAAUAAAUGUGUUUCCUGUCUUAACAAAAAAAAAAAAAAAAAAAAAAAAAAAAAAAAAAAAAAAAAAA